AUUCAAUGACAACGACUGGGCUCCCGAAAGCCGGUCCUUAGGGGCGCGUGCACAAAAAAAUCCCGACUGUCAUCGACAAGGUCAAGCCGGCUCCGGUAUGGGAACAACGAAAGCGGCGCAUCGGCGGCUCAUUCUGGCGGCGGCAAUGGCCGUUCGGUUGUCCAUGGACCCCUCUCUCCCUCCCUCUCUCUCUCUCAGACCCACUCGCCGCGAAGACUGGAGGCAGAACGCCGCACGCGCCGGUCGACGAGGAGGAGCUACGCCGCCGCCGGAGCACCGACUGCAUCUACUACCUCGCGCUCCCCGUUGACCUGCAAGAAGCGACCGACUGAGUGUGCUUGAAGUUUGAGGUGGAGUGCAAGGAGGAGGACACCCGGGUGGAGAUCUACUGCGCCGCCAAGCCGGGGCUACUGCUGUCGAUGGUGAGCACCCUGGACACACUGUCCCUCGACAUCCAGCAGUGCAUCGUCGACUGCUUCAACGACUUCGCCAUACACGCCUCCUGCUCCGAGAUGCAGAGGGAGAUGGGCUGCUGGAUCUUAUAAGGAGGUCACUCUGACAAGACUGGCUAGCUGUGAUUCUCGUGGGAAUAAAGAGGAUGGGACCUGUGAUUGUCGUGGAUCUGGAGGUGACACUGAUCAGGAAGGUAAGUUUACUACUGAUCUGGAGUAAUAUUACUAGAUUGCAAAUCAUGAAUUUAGUAGUUACUGCAGAAUAUUGGUUAGUUGGUUCAGUUUACCUUUUAUGUUUAUAUGGUCUAACGACAUCCGACAUAGCAGAUGCUUGGUCCAGCUGGAGAUAGCUUACAUGGUUUUAUUUCACCAUAAUAUAUUUCCAACAAGAUCGUUCCCUAUUGUUUCCUGAAGAAAACUAACGAUCAAACUGCAGAGAAAACAUUGUUUAGAGAGGAGUUAAUAUACAGUUUGUAGUCUUGCAAUUGGCUUCUAAAAUUUACAGCAGGAGUACGCAAUGAGUUUGAACAAAUGAAUGCAAAACCUACCAGAUUUUGCGAUGUUACUGUUUCUUGAUAUCUUCCUCAUUUGUAUUAUGUGUAUUCCUUAGUUGGCAGCUAUUUUAAUGUAUACUCUCCCCUUAUUUUGAGGAAACUUCAUGGGGCAGAGGAUCACUACAAUUUUUUGUUUCAAAUAGGAAAUGAACAAAACAUGAUUUUGCUAACCUGUCAUGUAAUAUAUAUGUACCUAUUUCAUAAAGUACAUCAGUGCAAAUACAAGUUUGCAACUCAUGACGAUGAGUCGAGGAGUGAAAGAAGUUUGGAACUCACACAAGUGUCAUACUCGCAUGACCAAAUCAGGCUACAAAGACAAGUCUUCACGCGCACAUGUAUGACCUUGCCUCUGUCGUUGUUUUUUUUUUCUGAAGAAUAAAACUGCUGUCAUUAGGCUCUAAAUUUGCAAACUAACUAAACAUCAAAUACAAAUUGCAUGUGAGUUUGCCAAGAUUUUUUUUGUCUCUGCAAUUUUGUUUGCAGGAUUGUCGAUUUUAGUUACACAGUACCAUUUAAAAAGCGGCUGCCAUUUGAUGAAUUGCUGAAGGGUGGUGGCUGGACACCAUGGGGGACAGUGUUCCAAGAUGGUUAGACGUUAGCUACUGAUUCACAAUCUAUCAACCCUAUCUUCAUGUAUCUGUGUGUGUUAGGUACAUCUACUUGAUUUCUUCUUCUGAUUUAGGGAGGUCUUCAGAAUCUGAGAGGAAAUUGAUGUAAAAUUUAUUUUCCUAUUCUUGGAAACUCUUGCUUUGGAAAAUCAUAAUGUUCUUUUCAUUGUACAGGCAGUACAAGGUCCAACAUGGUUGUGCUGAUGUCUAGGUUUCGGCUUCCUGGGGAGGUGCCCUCCUCUUGAGUAUGCCAGUACUUCACGGUGGUGAGGUCUGUCUCGAUGGUAGACCGGUUGAUUGAUUAAAUGGCAAUAGGAGCAGCUUAGUGAGCCAGUGAUGCAACUGUGCAUCGUCUCUUGACGCACCACUGUCGACCCCAGCUACUGCAUGUACAUAUGAUCCAUGUAUCGUGUUUAGUUUCUCACUAAGACUUGGUAUGCUUGUGUUGUGAUGAUCCGAGGAACUCUACCUCUUUUGGAGAUCGCCCACCUUUCGGAGAAAGCUAAACCUUG